UACGAAGGGGGCUAGCGUUGCUCGGAAUUACUGGGCGUAAAGCGCACGUAGGCGGUCUUUUAAGUCGGGGGUGAAAUCCUGGAGCUCAACUCCAGAACUGCCUUCGAUACUGGAAGACUUGAGUCCGGGAGAGGUGAGUGGAACUGCGAGUGUAGAGGUGAAAUUCGUAGAUAUUCGCAAGAACACCAGUGGCGAAGGCGGCUCACUGGCCCGGUACUGACGCUGAGGUGCGAAAGCGUGGGAAGCAAACAGG
rnacentral:rRNA from 1 species